CCCAGGGAAAGAGUGGAGCAGGUGUGACGUUAUGAGUCUAAUCUAAUAUCUCAUUGAAAGGUGACAGGGCCAGAAAGAGUUAAUUACCUCACAGACUG